GCCUCCUCGGUCCCCGGCUAGCCCCUCGGUCUCUCGUGCUGGACAGCGGCCUCACACCUCGGUGGCGGGAAGGCGUCCCGGCUCGGGGCCCUGGGGCGACCGUGUGGGCCCAGGCGUGUGGGCACUCUCUCAGCAGCCGGGCUGCGCUGCCCACCCCCAAAGGGCCCAGGCCGCUGGGCUCCCUCCCUCGUUUACAGCCAGCCUUUGUCUCCCUCCACCACGUGAGGGGGGCAGCCGCGGGCCCCCAGGCCCUCAGAGAAUCCCCCCACGUGGGGUGGGUGGGCUCUGACUCCCUGAGGCCCGAGCCAAGCUGCUGUGAGUCUGUGAGAUCGGUUUCCCUUCAUGCAGGGCUUGGUGAAGGUGUCUCCGGGCCUCCUGCAAAGUGAAGCUCUGGCUCUGCACUAGCCAAGACCCUGGGAAGGUAACCGUCCACGGAGAUGCUGGUGGAGAUGCAGGCAGGCUCGCAAGAUCGGGGUUACGACCCAGGCGCUGGCUGGCCGAUCCGGUGCAGAGUGGACUGGAUUUCCUUUGUGCAAACCCGAUUGUAUCUUCCGCUGCUGCAGAGAUCAGAUCACCGAUGACCCACAGAGCCCACGCUCAUCUGCAUGUGUUUUAACAGCCUGUGGCACUGACACCUGCCAAACAGAAGCUGACUCCAUUUUCCUCGCCGAAACAAAACCUCUGAACCCGCUGCCUCAGCUGUCCUAAGGACAGACACAUAUAAGCGUUCUGUCCCAGGGACAAGAUGCAGGUCCGCGGAUGAGCUGAACAACAGUUAAGUUUCCUUCCCACCACCCAUCAGUGCCAGAUAUGGCAUGAUGCGGCUUCAUUAAAAGUCACAAAGAAUACUCGUUUCAGCAAAAACUCCUGGGCUGCAUUUAUCUUGCACUUUGUAGCUGGAACCUUCCAGCACAACAUCACCUUGUCAUGGGUGGUGCUGAGCCCGUUAGGACACAGAUGUACAUGUGGCAAUGCUUCCUGAAGGUGAAAGGGAUUCAUUAAAGUGUCAAACGAC